GGCGUAUUCACCAGUGUUUCUCCAUCUUCAGGCGUAUUCACCAGUGUUUCUCCAUCUUCAGGCGUAUUCACCAGUGUUUCUCCAUCUUCAGGCGUAUUCACCAGUGUUUCUCCAUCUUCAGGCGUAUUCACCAGUGUUUCUCCAUCUUCAGGCGUAUUCACCAGUGUUUCUCCAUCUUCAGGCGUAUUCACCAGUGUUUCUCCAUCUUCAG